GGACCUACGGGAGGCAGCAGUGGGGGAUAUUGCACAAUGGGGGGAACCCUGAUGCAGCGACGCCGCGUGGGUGAAGGAGUAUUUCGGUAUGUAAAGCCCUAUCGGCAGGGAAGAAAUUGGACGGUACCUGACUAAGAAGCCCCGGCUAACUACGUGCCAGCAGCCGCGGUAAUACGUAGGGGGCAAGCGUUAUCCGGAUUUACUGGGUGUAAAGGGAGCGUAGACGGGCCAGCAAGUCUGAUGUGAAAACCCGGGGCCCAACCCCGGGAGUGCAUUGGAAACUGCGGGCCUGGAGUGCCGG
rnacentral:rRNA from 1 species